GGAGAGAUGGCUGAGUGGUUUAAAGCGGUAGACUGUAAAUCUAUUGAUUCAACAUUUUCGUAGGUUCGAAUCCUACUCUCUUCA
rnacentral:tRNA from 1 species